UGGCGGACGGGUGAGUAACGCGUGGGUAACCUGCCUUACACAGGGGGAUAACACCUGGAAAUAGGUGCUAAUACCGCAUAAGCGCACAGUGUCGCAUGAUACAGUGUGAAAAACUCCGGUGGUACAGGAUGGACCCGCGUCUGAUUAGCUGGUUGGCGGGGUAACGGCCCACCAAGGCGACGAUCAGUAGCCGGCCUGAGAGGGCGAACGGCCACAUUGGGACUGAGACACGGCCCAAACUCCUACGGGAGGCAGCAG
rnacentral:rRNA from 1 species